UGGGGAAUCUUGCGCAAUGGGCGAAAGCCUGACGCAGCGACGCCGCGUGGGGGAUGAAGGCCCUCGGGUUGUAAACCCCUUUCGGCAGGGACGAAGCGAUCGUGACGGUACCUGCAGAAGAAGCCUCGGCUAACUACGUGCCAGCAGCCGCGGUAAGACGUAGGAGGCGAGCGUUGUCCGGAUUCAUUGGGCGUAAAGAGCACGCAGGCGGUUUGGCAAGUCGGAUGUGAAAACCCGAAGCUCAACUUCGGACCUGCAUCCGAAACUGCCCGACUAGAGGUAGGUAGGGGAGAUCGGAAUUCCUGGUGUAGCGGUGAAAUGCGCAGAUAUCAGGAGGAACACCGGUGGCGAAGGCGGAUCUCUGGGCCUUACCUGACGCUCAGGUGCGAAAGCUAGGGGAGCGAACAGGAUUAGAUACCCCCGUAGUCC
rnacentral:rRNA from 1 species